AGAGUUUGAUCCUGGCUCAGGAUGAACGCUAGCGGCAGGCUUAACACAUGCAAGUCGAGGGGUAACGAUGGUGCUUGCACCAGGCGACGACCGGCGCACGGGUGAGUAACGCGUAUGCAACCUACCUAUAACUGGGGGAUAGCCCGAAGAAAUUCGGAUUAAUACCCCAUAAUAUCACAAUUUCUCAUGAAAUUGUGAUUAAAACUCCGGUGGUUAUAGAUGGGCAUGCGUACCAUUAGUUUGUUGGUGAGGUAACGGCUCACCAAGACUACGAUGGUUAGGGGGUCUGAGAGGAUGAUCCCCCACACUGGUACUGAGACACGGACCAGACUCCUACGGGAGGCAGCAGUGAGGAAUAUUGGUCAAUGGGCGAAAGCCCGAACCAGCCAUGCCGCGUGCAGGAUGAAUGCCCUAUGGGUUGUAAACUGCUUUUCUGUAAGAAGAAACCCCUUUACGUGUAGAGGGUUGACGGUAUUACAGGAAUAAGCAUCGGCUAACUCCGUGCCAGCAGCCGCGGUAAUACGGAGGAUGCAAGCGUUAUCCGGAUUCAUUGGGUUUAAAGGGUGCGUAGGCGGAAUAAUAAGUCAGUGGUGAAAUCCUGCAGCUUAACUGUAGAACUGCCAUUGAUACUGUUAUUCUUGAGUAUGGUUGAGGUAGGCGGAAUGUGCAGUGUAGCGGUGAAAUGCGUAGAUAUUGCACAGAACACCAAUUGCGUAGGCAGCUUACUAAGCCAUCACUGACGCUGAGGCACGAAAGCGUGGGGAGCGAACAGGAUUAGAUACCCUGGUAGUCCACGCCGUAAACUAUGAUCACUCGUUGUUGGCGAUACACAGUCAGCGACUGAGCGAAAGCAUUAAGUGAUCCACCUGGGGAGUACGAUCGCAAGGUUGAAACUCAAAGGAAUUGACGGGGGCCCGCACAAGCGGUGGAACAUGUGGUUUAAUUCGAUGAUACGCGAGGAACCUUACCUGGGCUUAAAUGCAGGACGCUUUUUCCCGAAAGGGAUUUUUCUUCGGACGGCUUGCAAGGUGCUGCAUGGUUCGUCAGCUCGUGCCGUGAGGUGUCGGGUUAAGUCCCAUAACGAGCGCAACCCCUAUCGUUAGUUGCCAGCGAGUAAUGUCGGGGACUCUAACGAAACUGCCGGUGUAAACCGUGAGGAAGGUGGGGAUGACGUCAAAUCAGCACGGCCCUUAUGUCCAGGGCUACACACGUGUUACAAUGGUUGGUACAAAGAGCAGCUACUAUGUGAAUAGAUGCUAAUCUCAAAAACCAAUCUCAGUUCGGAUUGAAGUCUGCAACUCGACUUCAUGAAGUUGGAAUCGCUAGUAAUCGCGCAUCAGCCAUGGCGCGGUGAAUACGUUCCCGGGCCUUGUACACACCGCCCGUCAAGCCAUGGAAGCUUGGGGUACCUGAAGUCUGUAACCGCAAGGAGCGGCCUAAGGUAAAACAAGUAACUGGGGCUAAGUCGUAACAAGGUA
rnacentral:rRNA from 1 species